rnacentral:rRNA from 1 species
UACGGGGGGGGCAAGCGUUGUUCGGAAUUACUGGGCGUAAAGGGCUCGUAGGCGGCCAACUAAGUCAGACGUGAAAUCCCCCGGCUUAACCGGGGAACUGCGUCUGAUACUGGAUGGCUUGAGUUUGGGAGAGGGAUGCGGAAUUCCAGGUGUAGCGGUGAAAUGCGUAGAUAUCUGGAGGAACACCGGUGGCGAAGGCGGCAUCCUGGACCAACACUGACGCUGAGUGAGCGAAAGCCAGGGGAGCAAACGGG